AGUGAACGCUGGCGGUAGGCCUAACACAUGCAAGUCGAACGGAAGCACAGUAAGAGCUUGCCCUUACGGGUGGCGGGUGGCGGACGGGUGAGGAAUACAUCGGAAUCUACUUUUUCGUGGGGGAUAACGUAGGGAAACUUACGCUAAUACCGCAUACGCCCUACGGGUGAAAGCAGGGGAUCUUCGGACCUUGCGCGAUUGAAUGAGCCGAUGUCGGAUUAGCUAGUUGGCGGGGUAAAGGCCCACCAAGGCGACGAUCCGUAGCUGGUCUGAGAGGAUGAUCAGCCACACUGGAACUGAGACACGGUCCAGACUCCUACGGGAGGCAGCAGUGGGGAAUAUUGGACAAUGGGCGCAAGCCUGAUCCAGCCAUACCGCGUGGGUGAAGAAGGCCUUCGGGUUGUAAAGCCCUUUUGUUGGGAAAGAAAAGCAGCAGGUUAAUACCCCGCUGUUCUGACGGUACCCAAAGAAUAAGCACCGGCUAACUUCGUG
rnacentral:rRNA from 1 species